ACUGGUAUUAAAAAGACCUUAGCAGCAGCCCGUUUGGACAAUGUAAAUUGGAGGAAAGCAUUAGAACAAUACGUUCACACACACAACAAAGUUAGGCCCUUAUCUCGGUUAGGAGUAACUCCGUUUGAAUUGUUAGUGGGCUGGAAAUUCCGUGGAACUUUUCCAUGUCUAUGGGAUACGCACUCCCCAGAAACAUUAGAUCGCGCCGACAUUCAACAGAAAGAUGCUGAGUCAAAGCUUCAGAGCAAGAAAUACGCUGACGAACGCAGGGGAGCUAAGUUCUCCGAUAUUCAGGUAGGCGACACUGUAUUAAUAGCGCACCAGAAGAAACAGAAAUCGGAUCCAACAUUCUCGUCUGAACGAUUCACCAUUAUUGCAAGAGAUGGGGCAAAGGUCGUACUUCGUAGCGCGCACCGUCCAAUACUCGCGCAAUGCUCAAGAUGUAAAGAAAGUACCUAAUUGUAUUGAAAGUUCUGAAGAAAGUUCAUUCGCGGAUCAAGAGAUUGAAAAGCUACAUAACACAGACCCAAGUCAAGAUGUACUUAUUCCAACGCCUGAAUCUCAUGAAAAGGAAAGCGCUGAAGAAUAUAUUAACCUACGCCCAACUCGACAAACCAAAUUGCCAAACAGAUUCAAGGAUAUGGUGCUUUAUAACAUAUUUGAAUAGAUACAACCUUCUUGAGACGACGACGACAUGACACUCGAACCAGUACGCACAAUGAAGAAAUCGAAUUGAAUAGCACAGUAACUUCAACUGGAUUUGCUACACGAGACCGGAACAAAGCGCUCACAACGAGAACAAGAGAAAAAAAUAUAUAUAUAUAUAUUUAUAAUAUAUGGUAGAAAUAAUCUUAAUAAAAUGGAUAAACAAAAUCUAAUAACACAAUAAUAAAUAUACAAUAUACAGUAACGUAAUUAAGACAUAAUUUAAGAAGCAAGAGUAGAGGAGAAGAGUAUUGUAGAUAAAAAGACAUAAUAAAAUAAAUUUAAAUUACAAAUGAAUGAAAGCUUUUGCAAUUCAAUGAAAAUGAAAAUCCAGAUGAAAGCAUCUCUAUGUAAUAUUCCCUGAUUGAUUUAACGGUUGUCAUGCUAUUAUUGGCAUUCGCAGGAGUGCCACAACACAGCAUUCUUUAAAAGAGGCGGAGCCUGUUGUGCUCGCUUUCCAAUUAUAAAACACGCGGUAGUACCGUACUGAGACUCAUUCAUUCAUCGGACGUCGUGACGAACGGGUCGAGCAACAGUGGGUCGAGGUUUCCCCACCCAGCAGCAACAUCGUC